ACGAACGCUGGCGGCGUGCCUAAUACAUGCAAGUAGAACGCUGAAGAGAGGAGCUUGCUCUUCUUGGAUGAGUUGCGAACGGGUGAGUAACGCGUAGGUAACCUGCCUUGUAGCGGGGGAUAACUAUUGGAAACGAUAGCUAAUACCGCAUAACAAUGGAUGACACAUGUCAUUUAUUUGAAAGGGGCAAUUGUUCCACUACAAGAUGGACCUGCGUUGUAUUAGCUAGUAGGUGAGGUAAUGGCUCACCUAGGCGACGAUACAUAGCCGACCUGAGAGGGUGAUCGGCCACACUGGGACUGAGACACGGCCCAGACUCCUACGGGAGGCAGCAGUAGGGAAUCUUCGGCAAUGGGGGCAACCCUGACCGAGCAACGCCGCGUGAGUGAAGAAGGUUUUCGGAUCGUAAAGCUCUGUUGUAAGUCAAGAACGGGUGUGAGAGUGGAAAGUUCACACUGUGACGGUAGCUUACCAGAAAGGGACGGCUAACUACGUGCCAGCAGCCGCGGUAAUACGUAGGUCCCGAGCGUUGUCCGGAUUUAUUGGGCGUAAAGCGAGCGCAGGCGGUUUGAUAAGUCUGAAGUUAAAGGCUGUGGCUCAACCAUAGUUCGCUUUGGAAACUGUCAAACUUGAGUGCAGAAGGGGAGAGUGGAAUUCCAUGUGUAGCGGUGAAAUGCGUAGAUAUAUGGAGGAACACCGGUGGCGAAAGCGGCUCUCUGGUCUGUAACUGACGCUGAGGCUCGAAAGCGUGGGGAGCGAACAGGAUUAGAUACCCUGGUAGUCCACGCCGUAAACGAUGAGUGCUAGGUGUUGGAUCCUUUCCGGGAUUCAGUGCCGCAGCUAACGCAUUAAGCACUCCGCCUGGGGAGUACGACCGCAAGGUUGAAACUCAAAGGAAUUGACUGGGGCCCGCACAAGCGGUGGAGCAUGUGGUUUAAUUCGAAGCAACGCGAAGAACCUUACCAGGUCUUGACAUCCCGAUGCUAUUUCUAGAGAUAGAAAGUUACUUCGGUACAUCGGUGACAGGUGGUGCAUGGUUGUCGUCAGCUCGUGUCGUGAGAUGUUGGGUUAAGUCCCGCAACGAGCGCAACCCCUAUUGUUAGUUGCCAUCAUUCAGUUGGGCACUCUAGCGAGACUGCCGGUAAUAAACCGGAGGAAGGUGGGGAUGACGUCAAAUCAUCAUGCCCCUUAUGACCUGGGCUACACACGUGCUACAAUGGUUGGUACAACGAGUUGCGAGUCGGUGACGGCGAGCUAAUCUCUUAAAGCCAAUCUCAGUUCGGAUUGUAGGCUGCAACUCGCCUACAUGAAGUCGGAAUCGCUAGUAAUCGCGGAUCAGCACGCCGCGGUGAAUACGUUCCCGGGCCUUGUACACACCGCCCGUCACACCACGAGAGUUUGUAACACCCGAAGUCGGUGAGGUAACCUUUUGGAGCCAGCCGCCUAAGGUGGGACAGAUGAUUGGGGUG
rnacentral:rRNA from 1 species